UGCAGAUCGGCUCGGUUAGGGAUCUCGCCGAAGCCGAACUCCUGGGGAAAGAGGUGGAAGAGAAGCGGAAGCAGAUGGAUCACAUGGGGGGAGAUCGCAAGGGGGGAGAGGAGGAAGAGAAGAGGAAGAAGCGCGUGGAAUCGCUGGGAUGGCUCACGGAGUCAUCGGUGAUGCCGAAGAAGCGCAAGUCCAUCGAGGGCGUCGGAGCCGCCUCCAUCGUCGAGCUCAAGGCGCAGCUCUACCGCUCCCAGGAGGAGGCACGCAAAGCCAAGGAGGCCGCCCCUUCCGAGUUCCUCCGGCCCAAGAAGAAGCCCCUUCCCUCCGAUGUCUUUUCGCACAAGAACGCUGGCGUCGAGAACCGCGCCAACAAAGAUAAGCUGGAAAUGAAGGCUAUGAAAGAUGGAUCAGCUGUUUAUGCAGCUUUAGAGAAGAAGGCUGAGCUAUAUGAAAAACUAGCUAGAGGAGAACUCCCAGAUGAGGAAGACAGAGAGAGAUAUUGUGUAGAUUUUUUCCACAAGACUCUCGAGCAAGACAAUUCACAACCACCUGAAGAACAUAGAACUCCUGCUGAUCUGCCGCAACAAAAGGAAGAUGCUCAUACUGAUGAAACUGUGUUAUUUGCUAGACCAUUUGGUCUUGGCCGCGCCGGCAGCACUUUAGAUGGUGAUGAACAUAAACGGUUUGUGAGGGAAGUUCAUGAGGAAGUUAGUCAGGCAAGGCAAAAGGCAACAAUGCUGAAGUUGCGCCGGCAGGAGCAGGAAGCUUCUCGACGCGAAAAACUGAAGCAAGCAUAUCUCAAGAAACGGCUGGAACAAUUGACCUCUGCAAAACAAAUGGCUUCAAGCGAGAAUUGCACACAGACUGUGAACAGUGAGGCUUCACAGAAAUAGGUGAAUGCAAGUCCAUUGGGCUUGAUUAUAUACAUUAUGAAGGGUGGCAAAGCUAAAGAGGCGCAAGAAGUUUGACGAUCUGAAACUGUACUCUUUCCUUGAAGAGCUCAAGUCUAACAAAACUCAUAGAUAUGAGUUGUGCCGGACCAUUGCUGGACGUGUGGUGGAAUUUAGCGCUGAGCAACUUGGGAGUCCAUUUAUCCAGCAAAAGUUAGAGACUUGUAGUAUCUACGAGGAGAAGACAUCGGUUUUCAUUGAAGUACUUCUACAUGCUUCUUCAUUAAUGACUGAUUUAAUGGGAAUUAUGUUAUUCAGAAGAUACAAACAGCUACCAAACUCGUCUCUAACUGCUUCUCUGAUUCCCAUUUCAUAAAUUCUUCGUGUGCAAGUAUUUUCCAGACCACCUGUUUGACAAUGCUUUCUCAUUUGCUGAACAGAGGAAAGAUGCAAACAACUACCAAACUAAUAAGCUUGUUGUCAAUGUCUUAGCUUAGAGUCUUCAGAUGUAUGGCUGUCGCAAUAUCCAAAAGGUUCUCUUUCUUUUAACUAUCCUUAUUGCUUUUGCUUCAUGUCAUGCACUUCACUUGUUUCAGAACUGUAAUUCAGUCUUGCACCUUGUUGAAAUUCUGUGGUGUUUAUGAAAUUUUCAGAUGGUUUCAGACAAGGAACUUAAUGAAUCUAUAUGUAGAAGCAGAUGAGUGAAACUAUCCCUACUAUGCUUCUUUGCAUUGCAGGUUUUUAUCGAAUAAAAUGUGUCGAGAAUUCUCAUUCAACUCGGCACAGAUUUUGCUAAGUCUGAAUGUCUGCAAAGGGAAAACAAACAAAGGCAAUAGAAUAUGUGUUCACUUAUUUGGUGAAGAACCGAAAAAAAUAUAUCUAUAGUUCUUAGCAUGGUUUUAGAGAUUAUCUAGGACUUGGCCCUUUUCUGUUGUUCAUUCUACAUAAUUAUCAAAUAUUUCUAGCCUAAUUCUGGACUUUAUGUUCAAGGUUACUUCAUCAUUCUUCAUGCUUUUAUUUUUCGACAUGUAUUUCUCAAUUUGUCGCGGAGGGACUUGCUAUUCCUAGCCUAUUGUUUGUCUCGUAUCAUCUCCUGCACCUACAUAGAUAGUAACUCGAGUCUCUUUUGCACAUGUUUACUGCAGACAUAGUUGUCUAAAGCGUAUGAAGCGCUCGCUUAAGUGCAAAGUGUAGUGAGAUGUAAGCCUUGUGCUUCUAAGACCAUGGAAGCGCGCGAGGUCUCGGAGGUGCAGCUAAGUUUUUCUUGUUUUUUUUUUCUUUAAAGUCCUAAUCAAUACAUUGAUUCAUGUUCACCGUCGGAUUGUUUACCUCUCGUGACUCUUGAAGUGUCUACUGUCUACUCUAUUGGUAAGAUUUUAUGUUUUAACAUUUU